CCCAAUCCUGACACAGGGAGGUAGUGACAAUAAAUAACAAUGCCGGGCUUUUCAAGUCUGGCAAUUGGAAUGAGAACAAUUUAAAUCCCUUAACGAGGAUCAAUUGGAGGGCAAGUCUGGUGCCAGCAGCCGCGGUAAUUCCAGCUCCAAUAGCGUAUAUUAAAGUUGUUGCAGUUAAAAAGCUCGUAGUUGGAGUUCAGAUUGAGCUCGGCCGGUCGGCCUAAUUGGUCAGAACUGGUUGACUCUGUCUUGUUUGUGGAUCCCUCCGGAGUUAACUCUUCGGAUGUGGAGUCCACAUCGUUUACCUUGAAAAAAUUAGAGUGUUCAAAGCAGGCGUUUGCUUGAAUAUAUUAGCAUGGAAUAAUGGAAUAGGACGCUGGUUCUAUUUUGUUGGUUUUGAGAACCAGAGUAAUGAUUAAUAGGGACAGUUGGGGGCAUUCAUAUUUCAUUGUCAGAGGUGAAAUUCUUGGAUUUAUGAAAGAUGAACUUCUGCGAAAGCAUUUGCCAAGGAUGUUUUCAUUAAUCAAGAACGAAAGUUAGGGGAUCGAAGACGAUCAGAUACCGUCGUAGUCUUAACCAUAAACUAUGCCGACUAGGGAUUGGACGUGGUUUGUUCAUUGACCCGUUCAGCACCUUACGAGAAAUCAAAGUCUUUGGGUUCCGGGGGGAGUAUGGUCGCAAGGCUGAAACUUAAAGGAAUUGACGGAGG
rnacentral:rRNA from 1 species